GAUGAACGCUGGCGGCGUGCCUAAUACAUGCAAGUCGAGCGAACAGAUGAGGAGCUUGCUCCUCUGACGUUAGCGGCGGACGGGUGAGUAACACGUGGAUAACCUACCUAUAAGACUGGGAUAACUUCGGGAAACCGGAGCUAAUACCGGAUAAUAUAUUGAACCGCAUGGUUCAAUAGUGAAAGACGGUUUUGCUGUCACUUAUAGAUGGAUCCGCGCCGCAUUAGCUAGUUGGUAAGGUAACGGCUUACCAAGGCAACGAUGCGUAGCCGACCUGAGAGGGUGAUCGGCCACACUGGAACUGAGACACGGUCCAGAUUCCUACGGGAGGCAGCAGUAGGGAAUCUUCCGCAAUGGGCGAAAGCCUGACGGAGCAACGCCGCGUGAGUGAUGAAGGUCUUCGGAUCGUAAAACUCUGUUAUUAGGGAAGAACAAAUGUGUAAGUAACUAUGCACAUCUUGACGGUACCUAAUCAGAAAGCCACGGCUAACUACGUG
rnacentral:rRNA from 1 species